GAUAGCCCAAAUCAAAAUAAAAUGAGGCUACCCUCAAAUUAUACCGCCUUCACCCAUCGUAUCUCUCCCUCAUUCACAUUCUUUAUUUUAAUUCUUCCCCAAAUUCACCUUCCAAUUGAAAUCCCUAAAAAAGGAAUAGAGAAGCCGACGCCUCUCUCCCCCACGCCUCUCUCUUCUCCGGCGUCGGCGUCGGCGUCUCUCUCCCUCACACCAGCUUCCCAAUUAACAUCAGUCUCAGCGUCGCAGCAAGGCACAAUACUGUAGUCGUGCCUCUCGGCCACCUCCCAAACCAAAUCCAUCUAUCUCUCUCGCUCGCUGGCUCUCUCUCCCUCGCCGCCCUUCGCGUUGCCCCGCCUGCACAGCCGCGUCGCUAGCGAGCGACGCCGACUCUUCUCUGUAUCUCUUUCCUCUCUCAUCGCUCUCUCUUUUCUUACGCCACAACCGCUGCUGCUUCCGAUUCCGCGCCGGCAAUGAUAUAAUCACUCUCCGGCUGUUAAAGAUUGGAUCUUUGGAUGAAUCUGGAGAUGGGCGAAGCAGCGGCUAGAAAUGCCAUGAUAGGGAGAUGGAGGUGGUGGGUCUGCACAGAUGCAGUCGGCACCGUCGGGCUUCUCUCUUCUCCAUUCCUAUUAUUUUUCUUCUUCUCACCGGUCUCCUUUAACAGCAAGCACAUGUAUUAGUGUUAUAUUAUCUGUAAUUUCCUUGAGAAGCUUUCUCUCUAUUGGACCAAUAUUUGCCCAAUCAAUUUUGCAGUUUCUGUCCAAUGUUGGCAUAUUGAGAAAUGACAAAAAGGAUAAUCACAAUAGCUGCACACUUUCCCGCCAAAAAGGGUAAUAUUGACUUUUCAGCAAACUGUCACUUUAUAUUAGUAUAGAUUUGGGGGAGUUGAAAAUAUAGGGCUAUAGAUGGUUUUAAACUCAAUUCUGGACUCAAUAUCCGAUGCUCACCGUUUUCAGAAAAUGACUAUUUCUCCAAGGAACAGUGGUCUGCAAGAAUUAUGUAUAGAGCCAGCCAGCAAGAAUUAUUUUUGAGAAAGUGAAACGUUGACCUUUGCAUUUUUGUGGAAACAAGUUACUUAUUUGCUCGAGUGAAUCGAUGCAAAUCGCCUCAUGUUACUCUGUUGCUUUAUCAACUAAGUAGUAACAUGCUUCAUAUACUAUUUAGGAUACAAGUUGGUUAUUGAUGGAUUCUGCAUCUUCAAUCAUUUAUUGAAUGUGGCAAUAUAUUGUAGAAAUUGUGAAGAUCUACUUUCUUUUCUAUUCCAAAAUUCAACUUGUUUGGCUAAGUGCAAGGACAAGUAGGUUUUUAUAUUUUCUGUGUCACAAUUUUUUGGCAGUAAAGGUCUUUUACCUUUCUGUUUGUGGAGUGUGCCUUUUUAAUUCCUUUCCUCCUUUUACUGCGUGAUUCCAUUGCACAGCACUGCUUAUCAUGUGUGAAAAUCAAGCUUCUUGCAACUUUGUAUGCCUUGUUUACUUUAACUAAGUCGGUCUGUUUAUGUCAAUAUUAAAGUGGUCAGUGUCAGUUAGGUGUUUGUCUAUAACUAAUCAGUUUGUCAACCAGAAAAGUUUCAUCAGAAAACUGACUUUGAACUUGAGCCACAAGAUUAAUUUUGAUUUCACUUAUGGGUGUUAAUACUUACUCGCUUCUUUCAUGCGUCUUUUCAGUCGAUAACAUUCAUGAAGGGUUAAGUUUGUUGUCAAUAUUAACCUUCCACUGGUUUGAUUUCAAAGGAAGGGUAGGGAUGCAGUAGGGAAAAUAUGCAUGAAGGAAAGGAGCAUUUUACAUUUUUAAACGAGAUGUUUAAUAUAUUAAGGAAAUUACAAAUUUCUCUUUUGGCAGUACAUCUCCAAACUAAGUAUUCAAAUUUUCGUUAGAGAUGUGUGGAAGAAUUAGAAACACCUAUUUUUCUAAUUGUAGUCCUUUGCUUUGCGGGUUUGAGUUCAAGGUAGAGGAGGAAAACACAACUACACAAGGCAAAUAUUAUAUUGAGGGAGGAAUAUAGGAAUUUUGCAUAUUUGAAGAGGCACUCGGAACAGGAAUCCAAUAUAAAUGAUGAAGUGUUUGAAAGAGUUUCGAGUUAUUUUUUCUGCAAUGAUAAUGACUGUGUGAAAGUGCCUUGACAUUCAAUUGUUCCUGAAGGGCUAAACAGAGAUCUACGAUUUGCCUGCAGUAGUGGUUUGUGGAAGAGCUGCUAUUGAAGGUUGGAGUAUCAAGUGGUUCGUCUUCAUCUUUCACAUGCAUAUAUAAAUUGCAGGCUCCUUCCAUUGGCGACGUGAGUGCUGCCUCAUCGUCAUAAUAAGCGACCAGCGUCAUAAUACUUCCUCCAUGGACCCUUGUCCUCAUUUGUCUAGUUUCUAGUUGUAGUUUGGUACUUCUCGAGUUCGUAUCUUAAGGAUCCUGAUUUUGUUGAUAUAUGUGCGAUAGCAAGAUAUGGAUUUUCGGCUGUGAAUAGAUCGUGGAAAGAUGGCCAAUCCAGACGAGGAACAACCACAAUCACAACAAACACAGCAGACAGAUGAUUACCUUUUCGAGAUAGUUCUGAUUGGUGAUUCAGCGGUUGGUAAAUCUAACUUGCUCGAGAUGAGUUUCACCCUAAUUCGAAGUCUACCAUUGGGGUAGAAUUUCAGACCCAAAAGAUGACCAUUAAUGGGAAGGAAGUGAAGGCACAGAUAUGGGACACGGCCGGCCAGGAGCGGUUUAGGUCUGUGACCUCUGCAUAUUACAGAGGUGCAGUCGGAGCACUUCUUGUCUAUGACAUCAGCAGACGCCUUACUUUUGAUAGCGUAGGCAGGUGGCUUAACGAACUUCACAGUAAGGUGGUGAAGGAGAUCUACAUCAUUUUAAGUAGGAAAGUGAUGCAAUCUCAAGAACUCAAAGUGAAAGAUCCGGAUUGGAUGGGAAAUGGGAAAACGGUGGUUUUUGUUGAAAAGUAAAAUGCGGAAAAUAAAACUGAAGAACUCUUGAAGACUACAUUGUGAUUGAUUUGAAUUGUUUGAGAUACAUUGUACUUUCAUAUUUAUACAACUAGAGAACUAAAUGUACCUAGGGACUUAUGAACUUAGGACUCUACCAUAAUAAUGAUAUAUUCCCUUGAGACCCUAAA